GUAUAUGUUUUAUAGGCACAACAUUCUAUCGACAUACAUUGGGGUAAAUGAAACGACAUAGACCUAGAAGGGUCUACAAAAGGUGCACAGGUGGAGAUAUAAAGAUGACAAGGCGUGCACAUGCUCCCUAGAGAACCAGCAACAACCCAUCAGGUUUAUUUCAAUAAUGAUCCUUCCGCAGGUUCACCUACGGAAA
rnacentral:misc_RNA from 1 species